rnacentral:rRNA from 1 species
GACGAGGGAUCCUAGCGUUGUUCGGAUUUAUUGGGCGUAAAGAGCUCGUAGGCAGCUUAGUAAGUCGGGUGUGAAACUCCAGGCUCAACCUGGAGACGCCACCCGAUACUGCUAUGGCUAGAGUCCGGUAGAGGAGUGUGGAAUUCCCAGUGUAGCGGUGAAAUGCAUAGAUAUUGGGAGGAACACCAAUGGCGAAGGCAGCACUCUGGGCCGGUACUGACGCUGAGGAGCGAAAGCGUGGGGAGCAAACAGGAUUAGAAACCCUUGUAGU